rnacentral:rRNA from 1 species
ACCGUAUUACCAAACGUGAAUUUGUGACUUAAGCCUGUUAUUGAAUGAUGAGCUGAUUGUAUGGUAAUGGUAUGAUUACGGUGCUUCGCGCAUAGUUUUCUAACAUACGGUCUUAGCGUGCUGGACACGCGGUUUGUUCUCAAUAAUAGUAGAUGAAUUUCGGCUGCUUAUUAAGCCUGUACCUUGGCUUGCAGUCCGGGGUGAAACCGAUUACUUACCCAAUAAUUUAUAUUUAUUCUGAUUUGUAUGUUUAUAUUGAUUCCUUUACUCUUAACGGGGUCUGGUUGAGUCUUUAUAGAUGUCGUAUAUUACUAAUACGAAACAACUCUUAGCAACGGAUAUCUUGGUUCUCGUAACGAUGAAGAGCGCAGCGAAAUGCGAUACGUAAUGUGAAUUGCAGAAUUCAGUGAAUCAUCAAAUUCUUGAACGCAACUGGCGCCUUCAGGUUUACCUGGAGGCACGUUUCUCUCAGUGUCGGUUAUACUCUCUCCGAUUAACUAUGUUUAUUCAUAUGUGAAAGGGAAAAUGAGUGUUAUGACUGUUAUGGUCAUAUCGCUUUAAAUUCAACGAGUUAAUUUCUUCCUAGUUGGUUGUCAGCGAAAGCUGUGUGACCGCUAUUCUCGACUCAGUGAUGUGGGUAAUUCGUCUUCGGAUGAUGCUUUACAUCGUUAGCUGUAUUGUUUAUGGUUUACUAUUUAGAAGCUGGCGUACUAGUGUAGCGUAAUAAUGUAACAAUUGUUAUUGCUCAUAUUUUGACCUGAGAUGAAGCGAGGCUACCCGCGGAAUUUAAGCAUAUUAUUACGCGGAGG